CAGCCGCCGCGGUAAUACGUAGGUGGCAAGCGUUAUCCGGAAUUAUUGGGCGUAAAGAGUGAGCAGGUUGCCUUUUAAGUUCGAAGUUUAAUUCAGUUGCUUAACAACUGGCCGCUUCGAAAACUAUAAGGCUAGAGUGCAGGAGAGGUUAGCGGAAUUCCAUGUGUAGCGGUGAAAUGCGUAGAUAUAUGGAGGAACACCAGUGGCGAAGGCGGCUAACUGGCCUGUAACUGACGCUGAGUCACGAAAGCGUGGGGAGCAAAUAGGAUUAGAUACCCUAGUAGUCCACGCCGUAAACGAUGAGUGCUAAGUGUUGGGGAGACUCAGUGCUGAAGUUAACGCAUUAAGCACUCCGCCUGAGGAGUACGUUCGCAAGAAUAAAACUCAAAGGAAUUGACGGGAGCCCGCACAAGCGGUGGAGCAUGUGGUUUAAUUCGACGCAACGCGAAGAACCUUACCAGGUCUUGACAUCCGACGCAAGACACUAGAGAUAGUGGGAUAGUUAUGGUCGAGACAGGUGGUGCAUGGCC
rnacentral:rRNA from 1 species